CCCGCACAAGCAGCGGAGCGUGUGGUUUAAUUCGAUGCAACGCGAAGAACCUUACCAAGGCUUGACAUGCCAGAAGUAGGAACUCGAAAGAGAGACCACCUGUAUCCAGUCAGGAACUGGCACAGGUGCUGCAUGGCUGUCGUCAGCUCGUGCCGUGAGGUGUUAGGUUAAGUCCUGCAACGAGCGCAACCCUCGUCGCUAGUUAAAUUUUCUAGCGAUACUGCCCGUAAAACGAGGAGGAAGGUGGGGAUGACGUCAAGUCAGCAUGGCCUUUAUGUCCUGGGCUACACACACGCUACAAUGGCCAACACAAUAGGUUGCUAAGCCGCGAGGUGGAGCCAAUCCAGCAAAACUUCCCUCAGUUCAGAUUGCAGGCUGCAACUCGCCUGCAUGAAGUUGGAGUUGCUAGUAAACGCAGGUCAGCCAUACUGCGUUGAAUACGUUCCCGGGGCUU
rnacentral:rRNA from 1 species